AUGGAUGGUGUCCUCUCCUUGCAUGAGAUACUGAAUUAUACUCAUGUACAGAAAAAAGUGGGGGUGGUGUUGAAACGAGAUUUUGAAAAAUCCUACGACAAGGUGAACUGGGACUUCUUGUUAGAAUGUCAUAAACAACGAGGCUUUAGUGAAACCUGGUGUGGAUGGAUCAAACAAAUCAUGCACAAUGGGACGGUGAGUAUCAAACUUAACAACAACGUGGGGCCGUAUUUUAAAAGUGCAAAAGGGGUUAGACAAGGGGAUCCACACUCUCCCUUUUUGUUUAACUUAGCUGCUGACUGUCUUACUAAGAUGAUCACUAAUGCCCAGAAAAACAAUUUGCUGGUUGGUUUGGCAUCUGAUCUCAUCCCCAAUGGGGUCGCGGUGUUGCAUUACGCCGACGACACCAUUAUCUGCCUUGAA
rnacentral:rRNA from 1 species